rnacentral:rRNA from 1 species
UACGUAGGGGGCAAGCGUUGUCCGGAUUUAUUGGGCGUAAAGAGCGUGUAGGCGGCCAGAUAGGUCCGUUGUGAAAACUGGAGGCUUAACCUCCAGCGGUCGAUGGAAACCAUCUGGCUAGAGUCCGGAAGAGGAGAGUGGAAUUCCUGGUGUAGCGGUGAAAUGCGCAGAUAUCAGGAAGAACCCCCGUGGGGAAGGCGGCUCUCUGGGACGGUACUGACGCUGAGACGCGAAAGCGUGGGGAGCGAACAGG